UUUCUUUCUCUUUGCAGGCUUCAUUUUCUUGGGCUUCCCUACCUGGCCAGACUCACGAUCCAGAAGGACAGUCUCAGUUCAGCCAGUUCCUGCCAAGGAAUCCUGGGGAAGGCUGGUGACUGAUCCAGCUGUCAUAUGAUUGCUCUGUGUGGUGACAUGGACUCAUCCCAGGACAAGCAGGUGGUGGAAUGUGGAAGGACUGUGAGAAUAUCCUUGAACUCCACUUGGCACUUCCACGGAUUGGCCGAUGAGGCAGAUGAAUGAGGAAGCAGACUCGUCAGAGCAAGAACACAGUCUGGAAGCAUGGUCCUGAUGCUGGAAUAGAGAGGAUUUCUGAUAACCUGGAAUAUUUGCAAGAGCUCAGCAACACUCCAAGAAUUAAAAGAAAAGUUGGAAAAGCCGAGCUCAGGAGCCUUCUUUGGUGUAGCUGAAUCAAGUGAAACUCAUGAAAAAUAAAGGCUGUCAACAGUGUC
rnacentral:lncRNA from 1 species